GAAACAAUACCUACAGCUCCCCAGUGGAAUGAAUAGCAGCUAGGUAACUCAACCCCUCUCUGAUGUCACCACGGGUAACUGAGACCUGGAGACCGACUGGAGCUGCAUCCGUGGAGCUCGAGCCUACCGAGACACGCCUCCACCGGCCACAAAUUCCGUUACUCGGGGAAAAACGGAUUUGACAACAUGGCGCACUUUCUGGGAAAUAACUUUAGUCAGUUCGCGGCCGGUAGAGUGGGAAUAUCGCAUGAUUGUUCACUUUUGGUUGGAGAAUAGUUGGAGUUCCAUCCUACUACAUUGUUGUGUGAGAUCGCACUGUUUCUCUGUCCUGUUUGGGAAGCGGACUGCAUGGGAUGAAAGUUUUAAGUUGCUGCCGCUGGGUAUAAAACUAGGACAGGAUGGAGAAACAUCGACCGAAGAAAGAAAGGGUGUUAUGUUACUUGGGUGACAAAGAGCACGUGGUGGUUGAAUCUUUAGUGUCUUUCUCUCGCUCUCUUUGUCAGAGGAGGUCCCUGGUUUCAUUCUCUCAGGAAUGUGUUUCUCCCUGCUGACCUGGGCUGAGCUGGGAGGGGGAGGAAGGGACAUGGAAGUGGUGUGUGUGAGUGUGUGUGUGUGUGUGCGUGCUUGUGAAGAGGGUGUUCCUGUACUACUGUGCCAACAAAACAGUUUUGACUAAUGCAUACAAGCCCAUUGGCUGUAUACACAGGUUGAAAAGCUUCUCUCUCUCGCUCACUCUCUCUCUGUCUCUUUCUCUCUCUGUGUAUCUCUCUGUCUAUCUCUCUCUCUCUGUGUGUGUGUGUGUGUAUUCUCAGUGGAAACUUCCUACUGUGUGAGUUAGUGCUCCAAUCAGCUGUUUGGACAGAGAAAGCCACUGGGACUGUGUGUGUGUGUGUGUGUGUGUGUGUGUGUGUGUG
rnacentral:lncRNA from 1 species